GCAGUGGUGGUUCAGGGGUAGAAUUAUCGCCUCCCACGUGGGAGACCCGGGUUCAAUUCCCGGCCAAUGCA